ACCUGGCUGGCUCCAUUGGUAGAGCAUGUGACUCUUAAUCUCAGGGUCAUGAGUUCAAGCCCCACGUUGGGUG
rfam:Felis catus isolate Cinnamon breed Abyssinian chromosome D4, whole genome shotgun sequence.